rnacentral:rRNA from 1 species
UACGGAGGGAGCUAGCGUUAAUCGGAAUUACUGGGCGUAAAGCGUGCGCAGGCGGUGAUGUAAGACAGAUGUGAAAUCCCCGGGCUCAACCUGGGAACUGCAUUUGUGACUGCAUCGCUGGAGUACGGCAGAGGGGGAUGGAAUUCCGCGUGUAGCAGUGAAAUGCGUAGAGAUGCGGAGGAACACCGAUGGCGAAGGCAGCCCCCUGGGUCUGCACUGACGCUCAUGCACGAAAGCGUGGGGAGCAAACAGG